AAAAGGGAAGCGCUUGUGACCAGACUUGCGUCCGGUGAAUCACCCAGCUCUCGCGGCUGGGGCACUUCGCCGGCUCAGGCCAGCAUCAGCUCGCUGUCGGGGACAAAAGCUUCAGGAACGUAGCUCUCUCCGGGGAGUGUUAUAGCCUGUUGCACAAUACCCUUCGGCGGGCUGAGGUACGCGCUCCGCAAGGAUGCUGGCAUAAU
rnacentral:rRNA from 1 species